rnacentral:rRNA from 1 species
CGCUGGCGGCGUGCUUAACACAUGCAAGUCGAACGGGAUCCUGCAAGCUUGCUUGCGGGUGAGAGUGGCGAACGGGUGAGUAAUGCGUGACCAACCUGCCCCAUGCUCCGGAAUAGCUCCUGGAAACGGGUGGUAAUGCCGGAUGUGCCGGGCUCCUGCAUGGGGGUCCGGGAAAGCUCUGGCGGCGUGGGAUGGGGUCGCGUCCUAUCAGCUUGUUGGCGGGGUGAGGGCCCACCAAGGCUUCGACGGGUAGCCGGCCUGAGAGGGCGACCGGCCACAUUGGGACUGAGAUUCGGCCCAGACUCCUACGGGAGGCAGCAGUGGGGAAUAUUGCACAAUGGGCGCAAGCCUGAUGCAGCGACGCCGCGUGCGGGAUGGAGGCCUUCGGGUUGUAAACCGCUUUUGUUUGGGAGCAAGCCCUUCGGGGUGAGUGUACCUUUCGAAUAAGCACCGGCUAACUACGUGCCAGCAGCCGCGG